UACGUAGGGUGCAAGCGUUGUCCGGAAUUAUUGGGCGUAAAGAGCUCGUAGGCGGUUUGUCGCGUCUGCUGUGAAAAUCCAGGGCUUAACCCUGGACCUGCAGUGGGUACGGGCAGACUAGAGUGCGGUAGGGGAGAUCGGAAUUCCUGGUGUAGCGGUGAAAUGCGCAGAUAUCAGGAGGAACACCGGUGGCGAAGGCGGAUCUCUGGGCCGUAACUGACGCUGGAGGAGCGAAAGCAUGGGGAGCGAACAGGAUUAGAU
rnacentral:rRNA from 1 species